rnacentral:misc_RNA from 1 species
CUCUCCACUCGGUAGAGUCACACACACACCGUCUGGACUCGUCGCGCCGUCGUCACUCGUCAGUAGUCCGUCACUCGUCCCGUCCGAAGUCGGCCCUCUCGCGAGUCUCGUCUUCGAGUGGUCCGGUCCGCUAUCGCUGAUCGCAACUGGCACGGUGGGCGUGCGUGUGCGGGUUUUACUUUCCACUGAUUAACUCUUCGCCCGAUUUAUACGGGCCCGCGUUGUAGUACUUAAUAGUAUCUAUUGUAGACGUGUGUGUGUGAUCGCGUCGUCCGAUUGCGUUACUCGUUUGUGCGCGCGCGCGUGUGUGUGUCAGUGUGAGUGUGUGCGCGCGGUGCGUUUUCUCCACUCGGCCCGACCGACCGCGGCGACGCGCGCGAUGUGUUGUACGUGUGCGGAUUAGUCUGUUCCAAUUACGGUUGGUGAACACCGUCGGGUCCGUCGUUCUCCGAGCUGUGCUACAAACUGGUGCGGUGGUGUCCCCGCGUUUCGUCUUCACCGGAGAUGGAAUUUCAUUGGUGUUACCGUGGUCGAACAGAUUCUACCAAUCACACAGAACCAAUCAACGUUGAUAGGAAAACAUGAUUUGAACCAUUUUAAUGUUUUAUGUUACGUGAAUUUUUCGGUUUUUGUUACUUUUAAAUUAGUUUUAAAAUAAGUAUAGAAAAUGUCUCCAGUUGAAAAAGACCAAACACUUACUCCAAGUUCGCUGGGAAGUUCUAUGAACAAAAUACCCCAUUCACAAUCCACUCCCGGUGUGUCUGGUUCUAAAACACCGCCGACAACACCCAGAAGGGGAGGGAAAAUGCUCAACGUUCGUGUCCAAAUGUUGGACGAUUCAGUUACACUCUUUCAAGUGCAGACAAAAGCUGAUGGGUCAGUGUUAUUUGAACAAGUAUGUAAACAACUUAACUUGCUGGAAGCCGAUUAUUUUGGCCUUGAAUAUCAAGAAGGUUCUACAAAACAUUGGUUAGACCUAGAAAAGCCAUUAAACAAACAAAUAGGACUGUCGCUUGUGGAACCAUUAAUGAGGUUUUGUGUUAAGUUCUACACACCUGAUCCUGCUCAAUUGGAAGAGGAAUACACCAGGUAUCUGUUUUGUUUACAAGUGAAACGAGAUUUAUCACAUGGGCACAUGCAAUGUAAUGAUAACACUGCUGCUUUAAUGGCCUCUUAUAUUGUGCAAGCUGAAUGUGGAGAUUAUUCUGCAGACGAUUAUCCAGAUCACACUUAUUUAUCAUCACAUAAAUUUGUUCCACACCAAGACAGAGAAAUGGAAAUAAGAAUAAUGGAAAGUCAUAAAAGGCAUAUAGGACAAACACCAGCAGAAGCCGAUUUAAAUUUAUUAGAAACUGCACGUCGGUGUGAAUUAUAUGGGAUCAAAAUGCAUUCAGCAAAGGAUCCUGAAGGUGUUCCUUUAAAUCUUUCGGUUGCACAUUUGGGCGUGUUGGUUUUUCAAAAUUUUACAAAAAUUAAUACAUUUUCUUGGGCUAAAAUCAGAAAAUUGAGCUUUAAACGUAAAAAAUUCCUUAUCAAACUACAUCCUGAGGGAUAUGGUUACUUUAAAGAUAUAGUGGAAUUUAUAUUUGAAACUCGUAAUGAUUGUAAAAGUUUUUGGAAAAAAUGUGUAGAAAAUCAUGGCUUUUUUAGAUGUUUCACUGUAAAACGUUUACCACGUCAACGGACCAAAGUUCUAAGUCGAGGAUCAUCAUUCAGAUAUAGUGGUAAAACUCAAAAACAAAUGGUGGAAUUUGUUAGGGAAAACUUUGUUAAACGUCAAACAUUCCAAAGGUCUCAAUCAUUUCGGCAUCCCGGAUUGUCACAUUCUUCCAAUGCUGGUUGCAGUUUAUCAGCACAUCCUUUAUUGCCCCUCGCAAAUUCGGAAGUCACGAGCCUAGCGGGUUCUCUGAGUCCGAACGCAGUCCAUCGCCAGGUGGUGCCUGGAGAGGUGUCGACUGCUCAAGUUGUACAUCCGACGACAGUGAUGACGACAACUUCGGACAUAACUUCCAUCACUUCGUCCCAGCACUCGUACAGCGUCAACGAUCCAGGUGAUACUCCUGAAGAAGUAGAUUCACCGUUUAAGAAAAUCAACGGAUCAACAUCGUGUUUGUCUUCUAUGUCUGUUAAAGAAAAUGGUGUAAUGACAAUCACAUCUUCCACCCCGAAAAAUCAUGUAACAAAUGGAUCGUUGGGAAAUAUAAGUAACGAUCAUUAUAACAACCUUAGCACAAUAAAUACUGCUAAGGAUAAAACUUCAACGAAAAAUCUUGAAAUUACUGAUACAAAACGCAAAAGGCCCACCGACAGAGCAUAUUUUAUAACUAAAGAAAUAUUAAUGACAGAGCGGACUUACAGAAAAGACUUAGAAGUCAUUAACUUUUGGUUGCGUGAUGAAAUGAGCAAAGAAGAUGAUGAAAUGGGUCAAAUAGAAUCUGUAAACAUGCUUUUAAAUUUAAUUGAUCCAAUUUAUGAUGCUCAUUCUUUAUUUUUGAAAGAUGUGGAAAUGAGAUUAAAUAGUUGGGACCCUCCGUGUAUAGCAGAUGUUUUGUUACGCCAUUUUAAUAAUUUGGAGUUGUACGAUAAUUACUUAGAUGAACACUUAAAUGUCUUAGAAAAAAUUGAUCAUGCAUAUCGUACUAACAAGAAAUUUGAAGCAUUUUAUAAAGAUUUUGAAGUAGAAAAAGUGUGCUAUUUGCCAUUGUCUUCAUUUGUAUUGAAACCACUUCAAAGAUUACUCCAUUAUUCUCAUUUACUAGAAAAAUUAAUAAGACACUAUGGCUCUUCACAUAUUGAUUACAACAACUGUUUGGAAGCGAGAGUAAAACUAUUGAAAGUAACAAAGAGAUUACCAAGUGCACUUCGCAGAUCGGAGAACUUUGUACAGCUUUGUGAGUUGGAGAGAGAUAUGGUUGGCAUUGACACUCUUCAUGUUACUGGUCGAGAGUUUGUACGGCAAGGGUGUCUAACCAAAUUUUCACAGAGAAAAGGUUACCAACAGCGCAUGUUUUUUCUGGGUAAUCACAAUUGCGGCGAACAGUCAGGAGGAAAAAGAUAAAUGGAUGGAAGACAUCGCACAAAGCGUUCAAGCGUACAAAGGAGAACGGGCAAAUAUCGAGCCACCAAAUAUUUAUUUGAGUUUGAAAUCAUGCAGUUCCUCAGAUGACAUGAUGAGCAACAAC